rnacentral:rRNA from 1 species
UACGUAGGUGGCAAGCGUUAUCCGGAAUUACUGGGUGUAAAGGGAGCGUAGACGGUUAUGCAAGUCAGAAGUGAAAGCCCAAAGCUCAACUUCGGGACUGCUUUUGAAACUGUGUAACUAGAGUGCAGGAGGGGUAAGCGGAAUUCCUAGUGUAGCGGUGAAAUGCGUAGAUAUUAGGAGGAACACCGGCGGCGAAGGCGGCUUACUGGACUGUAACUGACGUUGAGGCUCGAAAGCGUGGGGAGCAAACAGG